UUAACCUCAUUCGACAAAAAAUCACCCCGAUUUAACCUCAAUCUCGCACUAACACAACUUCACAUGGAUUAGUCAAUACAGGCUGAAACGGACCCACCAAAAACCAAACAAAUUAGAUGGAGGCUGGGAUGUUUCCGCGCGGCACUGGACGGUUCUGGACGGACGGAUAUGAACUCUUGAAGCGGACGAUGGAAUCGAAGUAUGUUGCAUGCAGCUAAACUAGGAGUGGAUACGGACCACGGCACCAGGCCGGAACUACUUUUGGCGAGCACACGCCGGACGGACUGCUGCCGUGCUGACCGGGAAUUGCCUCAAAUGGCCUAUUUGAAGACAGCUAUAAUGGAUGCCGAGAAGGGAAGUUGGCUUCCAGUUAAAGGUAAGUGUGUGAACAAAUUCUAAUGUUUCCUUUUUCUUUUAAGGAACAAUCGGACGGCGGAACCCAAGAUGUCAAUCAACCCCGAAGGAUGACCCCAAUAUGAACCCACAUUUAACAUAAACUUCCAUAUUAAACA